GACGAACGCUGGCGGCGUGCUUAACACAUGCAAGUCGAACGGAAAGGCCCUGCUUUUGUGGGGUGCUCGAGUGGCGAACGGGUGAGUAACACGUGAGUAACCUGCCCUUGACUUUGGGAUAACUUCAGGAAACUGGGGCUAAUACCGGAUAGGAUCUCCUGCUGCAUGGUGGGGGUUGGAAAGUUUCGGCGGUUGGGGAUGGACUCGCGGCUUAUCAGCUUGUUGGUGGGGUAGUGGCUUACCAAGGCUUUGACGGGUAGCCGGCCUGAGAGGGUGACCGGCGACAUGGGGACUGAGAUAGGGCCCAGACGCCAACGGGAGGCAGCAGUGGGGAAUAUUGCACAAUGGGCGGAAGCCUGAUGCAGCAACGCAGCGUGCGGGAUGACGGCCUUCGGGUUGUAAACCGCUUUCGCCUGUGACGAAGCGUGAGUGACGGUAAUGGGUAAAGAAGCACCGGCUAACUACGUG
rnacentral:rRNA from 1 species